rnacentral:rRNA from 1 species
AGGUUACUGCUAUCGGUGUUCGCCUAAGCCAUGCGAGUCAUAUGUUCGUAAGAACAUGGCGUACUGCUCAGUAACACGUGGAUAACCUGCCCUUGGGUCCGGCAUAACCCCGGGAAACUGGGGAUAAUUCCGGAUAACGCACAUAUGCUGGAAUGCUUUAUGCGUAAAAUGGAUUCGUCUGCCCAAGGAUGGGUCUGCGGCCUAUCAGGUAGUAGUGGGUGUAAUGUACCUACUAGCCUACGACGGGUACGGGUUGUGAGAGCAAGAGCCCGGAGAUGGAUUCUGAGACAUGAAUCCAGGUCCUACGGGGCGCAGCAGGCGCGAAAACUUUACAAUGCGGGAAACCGUGAUAAGGGGACACCGAGUGCCAGCAUCCUAUGCUGGCUGUCCGGGUGUGUAAAAUACACCUGUUAGCAAGGGCCGGGCAAGACCGGUGCCAGCCGCCGCGGUAACACCGGCGGCCCGAGUGGUGAUCGUGAUUAUUGGGUCUAAAGGGUCCGUAGCCGGUUUGGUCAGUCCUCCGGGAAAUCUGACAGCUUAACUGUUAGGCUUUCGGAGGAUACUGCCAGACUUGGAACCGGGAGAGGUAAGAGGUACUACAGGGGUAGGAGUGAAAUCUUGUAAUCCCUGUGGGACCACCUGUGGCGAAGGCGUCUUACCAGAACGGGUUCGACGGUGAGGGACGAAAGCUGGGGGCACGAACCGGAUUAGAUACCCGGGUAGUCCCAGCCGUAAACGAUGCUCGCUAGGUGUCAGGCAUGGCGCGACCGUGUCUGGUGCCGCAGGGAAGCCGUGAAGCGAGCCACCUGGGAAGUACGGCCGCAAGGCUGAAACUUAA